rnacentral:rRNA from 1 species
UAAUACGUAGGUGGCAAGCGUUGUCCGGAUUUAUUGGGUUUAAAGGGUGCGUAGGCGGUUUUAUAAGUCAGUGCUGAAAUAUCCCGGCUUAACCGGGAGGGUGGCAUUGAUACUGUAGAACUUGAGUCGAGUUGAGGUUGGCGGAAUUGACGGUGUAGCGGUGAAAUGCUUAGAUAUCGUCAAGAACACCGAUAGUGAAGACAGCUAACUAAGCUCAAACUGACGCUGAGGCACGAAAGUGUGGGGAUCAAACAGGAUUAGAUACCCUGGUAGUCCACACUGUAAACGUUGAUUACUCGCUGUGUGCGAUAUACAGUACGCGGCUUAGCGAAAGCGAUAAGUAAUCCACCUGGGGAGUACGCCGGCAACGGUG